AAGCGUGUAGGUGUGUGUUCCAGGUAAAUCCGGUUCACUUUAACACUGAGGCGUGAUGACGAGGCACUACGGUGCUGAAGCAACAAAUGCCCUGCUUCCAGGAAAAGCCUCUAAGCAUCAGGUAACAUCAAAUCGUACCCCAAACCGACACAGGUGGUCAGGUAGAGAAUACCAAGGCGCUUGAGAGAACUCGGGUGAAGGAACUAGGCAAAAUGGUGCCGUAACUUCGGGAGAAGGCACGCUGACACGUAGGUGAAGUGAUUUACUCAUGGAGCUGAAGUCAGUCGAAGAUACCAGCUGGCUGCAACUGUUUAUUAAAAACACAGCACUGUGCAAACACGAAAGUGGACGUAUACGGUGUGACGCCUGCCCGGUGCCGGAAGGUUAAUUGAUGGGGUCAGCGCAAGCGAAGCUCCUGAUCGAAGCCCCGGUAAACGGCGGCCGUAACUAUAACGGUCCUAAGGUAGCGAAAUUCCUUGUCGGGUAAGUUCCGACCUGCACGAAUGGCGUAAUGAUGGCCAGGCUGUCUCCACCCGAGACUCAGUGAAAUUGAACUCGCUGUGAAGAUGCAGUGUACCCGCGGCAAGACGGAAAGACCCCGUGAACCUUUACUAUAGCUUGACACUGAACAUUGAGCCUUGAUGUGUAGGAUAGGUGGGAGGCUUUGAAGCGUGGACGCCAGUCUGCGUGGAGCCGACCUUGAAAUACCACCCUUUAAUGUUUGAUGUUCUAACGUGGACCCGUGAUCCGGGUUGCGGACAGUGUCUGGUGGGUAGUUUGACUGGGGCGGUCUCCUCCUAAAGAGUAACGGAGGAGCACGAAGGUUGGCUAAUCCUGGUCGGACAUCAGGAGGUUAGUGCAAUGGCAUAAGCCAGCUUGACUGCGAGCGUGACGGCGCGAGCAGGUGCGAAAGCAGGUCAUAGUGAUCCGGUGGUUCUGAAUGGAAGGGCCAUCGCUCAACGGAUAAAAGGUACUCCGGGGAUAACAGGCUGAUACCGCCCAAGAGUUCAUAUCGACGGCGGUGUUUGGCACCUCGAUGUCGGCUCAUCACAUCCUGGGGCUGAAGUAGGUCCCAAGGGUAUGGCUGUUCGCCAUUUAAAGUGGUACGCGAGCUGGGUUUAGAACGUCGUGAGACAGUUCGGUCCCUAUCUGCCGUGGGCGCUGGAGAACUGAGGGGGGCUGCUCCUAGUACGAGAGGACCGGAGUGGACGCAUCACUGGUGUUCGGGUUGUCAUGCCAAUGGCACUGCCCGGUAGCUAAAUGCGGAAGAGAUAAGUGCUGAAAGCAUCUAAGCACGAAACUUGCCCCGAG
rnacentral:rRNA from 1 species